UUUUUUCUUUUUUUUCUUUUUUUCCUUUGGGCAGGUCUAUUGUUUAUGGGGGAGACGGAAGAGGAUUUGAGUUUCAAUGGGGUAUCUGUAGGAGGAGCAAUGGAGGAUGAUGAUUUACGUGAUCUAAAUAAGGAACCCAUUGAGGAAAAAAGAAAAAGGGUUGAGAAUAAUUCAACUGGUAAUGAAAAAGAGGGGUCUUUUGGGGGUUAAAUCGUGUCACGGUAAGGGUGGGGAGGGUUUUGAGGUCAAUGACAAUGGCUUUGAACAAUGCUGAAAAGCAAGUCAUAGAGACGUAAGUAGUUGUGAAGGAAGUAGUGGAUUUAAUAGAUGAGCCAGGUGUCGCUAUAAGAAAAAAAUUGAAGGGUCGAUUGGGGAGACCCCCAAAAGUGAAAGUUGAUUAUGGGGUUUGUGGUUUGAAAAUUAAAGAGAAAAAUGAUGAGGUAAUGGAAAGGAAGUUUAUAGGGGAGAGUCAUAAAGGGACUGGCCGAUGUAGGAAAAAUGUAAAGGGUUAGCGUGGAAGACCAUCCAAGAUUGAUAAGAUCUCAGGGGCCAUUGGUAAGAAGAAAAAGACAAAGGGUAGAUGGGGAAGACCACCCAAAAUGGAGAAUGGGAUUUCAGAGAUCCUUAUUAAGGAGAAAAAGACUAAGCGUCGUGGAAGACCACCAAAGAUGGAAAAUGGGAUUUUUAAGGUUGCUUAUAAGGAUAAAAAGAAUAAGGCUAGCCUUGGAAGACCUCCCAAGAUAGAUAAAAGCAUUGCUGGUGGUACUAAUGUGAAGGGAAGGUUGGAACUGAUGGUGGAGAAAAGAGAUUAAAACGCUAUCCCAAUUAUUUGGGAAGUAAUGUUAAGCAUGGUGAAUCAGAUAAAAUCGAGAGUGGAGAAGGAAAGCAAAUGGGACGUAGGGAACAACAGCAGUUAGUGAGGGAUCAAAUAGUUGCUCUGCUGAAGAAAGCAGGUAGGACUAUUGAGUACAUGCCAUGACAAUCAAAAGAUUACAACGAUCAAGUAUAUGUUGGCCGUGAUGGAAGAGCUUACCGGUCCUGCACCCUGGCUUACAUGGUGCUCAAAAAGAAGAUUGAAGAUAGAAAAGCAGAUGAUAAGAAAUGUUAUGUAUUUUUCCAAUACCUGAGGAGUUACUCAGCACACUAUUCAGAAUAAGGAAGGAUGAAGGAAAGAAGAAAGGGAAAUGUACUGGAAAGAUCGGUAAAGGUAUUGCUAAGAAGGCUUUAUCUAAGAUUAAGACAUUAGGAAAAAGAAUCAAGUCAAUUUAAGCAAGGAUAGAAGAAGGACACUGUUAGCCCGUGAACCAGGGGAGGGAUCAGAUGACUAUGAACUAUAUGACGGGAAGCGCACUUUGCUUUCGUGGAUGAUUGAUUUGGGAACUGUUCCUCCAGAUGGCAAGGUGAAGUAUAAGAGAAGCAGGAAUAAAAAAGGUGAUGCUCGAGGCAAAGAUUACAAGAAAGGGAAUUUGCUGUAGUUGUUGUGAUAAAGUACACACAAUACGUGACUUUGAAUCUCAUGCGAAAAGUGAACCUCAAAAAUCAUAUAAAUGCAUAUAUUUAGAGUCCAGAAAUUCUCUUUUACAAUGCCUCAUAGACUCGUGGAAUAAACAAUUGGCAACUGAACGCAUUGAAUUUACUUUUUGUGGACGUGGAUGUCGAUGAUCCUAAUGAUGAUACGUGCAACAUCUGUGGGGAUGGUGGUAACUUGAUCUGUUGUGAUGGUUGCCCAUCGACAUUUCAUCAUGGCUGCUUGUGUAUUAAAAAGGUCCCAUAUGGAGAUUGGUACUGUGCUUAUUGUUCCUGCAAAUACUAUAGAGUGUCUGGUGGAAAUGCCUAUACAACUGAUGACAAUAGCAAUUCAAUUGUCUCUGAAUUGUUAAUGUGCCGUUUGUGUGAGGAAAAAUUUAUUGAUCAAUUGCUUCAUUGUUUCUCAAUUCCUCAUAUGCUCCCCCGCUCAAUUUUUUUCCUAUCACAUGUCACGGGUGGCCUUGUACUAAUUAUAUGAAAUCCUUGUGUGUUGAAGACCAUGUUCCUUGUAUUGAAGGUAGUGAUGAUAUAAUUUUGAACAACAACAAUCCAUCCUUUUAUGGGAGGGAAUGUCAAAAGGUAUAACUAAUGUAUCCAUCUUUAACGACAUUUGGUUCGGCUUUUACUUUUCUUAAUUCGUGGAACUACGGUUUAUCCUAUCAUUCUUUCGUGGGUGGGAAUGUCAAGAUGUUUAUAUAAUGCAAAUGCAUCCAUCUUUGAUGGCAUUUUGAUCAA